GGCUUCGUAGUUCAGCUGUAUAGAACGUCAGAUUCCGGUUCUGAAGGUCAUGGGUUAGAAUCCCAUCGAGGUCACCA
rnacentral:tRNA from 1 species